UGAGAGGAUUAUUGAGAAUCUGAAAGGAUGAUUGGAUGAUUAGCUAGCCCCCCUCUCUGUUG
rnacentral:sRNA from 1 species